CAUUGGCAUUAAACGCAGCCCCUGUGCCCUCAGGAGUGAGAAUAAGGACUUAACUGCUAUUGCUGCUGUUCAUGCAGCAGCCUUAAAGGUUCGGUUUGGACUCGCACUCUUUGGCCCAUCUGGAGGCGAUUUCUGCAAAGUCUGUUCUCUGAAUCGGUCCAAUUCAUCAUCCACGUGAUGCUGUGGUGCUGUUGAACAUCCCAGGGCCAGCUGAGUAUCAUUCCUUGUCUCUGCUCCAGUUGCUUGGAACGUGCUGCCUCCCCAAAUGCCCAAAUACAAACCCAAGAAUUACGAGAGAGUGCUAAUUCGGGGUUUGCAAUGAAUUUAGUG
rnacentral:lncRNA from 1 species